GUCGGCGUUUUUGGCGACCGCUGGCUUCUUAGAGGGACUAUCGGCGUCUAGUCGAUGGAAGUUUGAGGCAAUAACAGGUCUGUGAUACCCUUAGAUGUUCUGGGCUGCACACGCGCUACACUGACGAAGCCAGCGAGUAUAAUUUGUCCUUGCCCGGAAGGGCUG
rnacentral:rRNA from 1 species